GAGACAUUGGUUUAAUUGGUAAAACAUGUGACUUUUAAUCGCUAUAAUAUGAGUUCAAGUCUCAUAUGUCUUA
rnacentral:tRNA from 1 species